GUGUGACUGCGUACCUUUUGUAUAAUGGGUCAGCGACUUAUAUUCUGUAGCAAGGUUAACCGAAUAGGGGAGCCGAAGGGAAACCGAGUCUUAACUGGGCGUUAAGUUGCAGGGUAUAGACCCGAAACCCGGUGAUCUAGCCAUGGGCAGGUUGAAGGUUGGGUAACACUAACUGGAGGACCGAACCGACUAAUGUUGAAAAAUUAGCGGAUGACUUGUGGCUGGGGGUGAAAGGCCAAUCAAACCGGGAGAUAGCUGGUUCUCCCCGAAAGCUAUUUAGGUAGCGCCUCGUGAAUUCAUCUCCGGGGGUAGAGCACUGUUUCGGCAAGGGGGUCAUCCCGACUUACCAACCCGAUGCAAACUGCGAAUACCGGAGAAUGUUAUCACGGGAGACACACGGCGGGUGCUAACGUCCGUCGUGAAGAGGGAAACAACCCAGACCGCCAGCUAAGGUCCCAAAGUCAUGGUUAAGUGGGAAACGAUGUGGGAAGGCCCAGACAGCCAGGAUGUUGGCUUAGAAGCAGCCAUCAUUUAAAGAAAGCGUAAUAGCUCACUGGUCGAGUCGGCCUGCGCGGAAGAUGUAACGGGGCUAAACCAUGCACCGAAGCUGCGGCAGCGACGCUUAUGCGUUGUUGGGUAGGGGAGCGUUCUGUAAGCCUGCGAAGGUGUGCUGUGAGGC
rnacentral:rRNA from 1 species